rnacentral:rRNA from 1 species
AUUGAACGCUGGCGGCAGGCCUAACACAUGCAAGUCGAGCGGAUGAAGGGAGCUUGCUCCUGGAUUCAGCGGCGGACGGGUGAGUAAUGCCUAGGAAUCUGCCUGGCAGUGGGGGAUAACGUCCGUAAACGGGCGCUAAUACCGCAUACGUCCUGAGGGAGAAAGUGGGGGAUCUUCGGACCUCACGCUAUCAGAUGAGCCUAGGUCGUAUUAGCUAGUUGGUGGGGUAAAGGCCUACCAAGGCGACGAUCCGUAACUGGUCUGAGAGGAUGAUCAGUCACACUGGAACUGAGACACGGUCCAGACUCCUACGGGAGGCAGCAGUGGGGAAUAUUGCACAAUGGGUGAAAGCCUGAUCCAGCCAUGCCGCGUGUGUGCAGAAGGUCUUCGGAUUGUAAAACACUUUAAGUUGGGAGGAAGGGCAGUAAGUUAAUACCUUGCUGUUUUGACGUUACCAACAGAAUAAGCACCGGCUAACUUCGUG